rnacentral:rRNA from 1 species
GACGAACGCUGGCGGCGUGCCUAAUACAUGCAAGUCGAGCGAAGUUUUUCUGGUGCUUGCACUAGAAAAACUUAGCGGCGAACGGGUGAGUAACACGUAAAGAACCUGCCUCAUAGACUGGGACAACUAUUGGAAACGAUAGCUAAUACCGGAUAACAGUAUUUCUCGCAUGAGAGAUAUUUAAAAGUUGGUUAUGCUAACACUAUGAGAUGGCUUUGCGGUGCAUUAGCUAGUUGGUGGGGUAAAGGCCCGCCAAGGCGACGAUGCAUAGCCGACCUGAGAGGGUGAUCGGCCACACUGGGACUGAGACACGGCCCAGACUCCUACGGGAGGCAGCAGUAGGGAAUCUUCCGCAAUGGGCGAAAGCCUGACGGAGCAACGCCGCGUGAGUGAAGAAGGAUUUCGGUUCGUAAAGCUCUGUUGUUAGGGAAGAAUGGAUAUGUAGUAACUAUACAUGUAAGAGACGGUACCUAACCAGAAAGCCACGGCUAACUACGUG